rnacentral:rRNA from 1 species
UACGGAGGGUGCAAGCGUUAAUCGGAAUUACUGGGCGUAAAGCGUGCGCAGGCGGUUUGUUAAGUCCGUUGUGAAAGCCCCGAGCUCAACUUGGGAAUUGCAGUGGAUACUGGCAGGCUGGAGUACGGUAGAGGAAGGUGGAAUUCCCGGUGUAGCAGUGAAAUGCGUAGAUAUCGGGAGGAACACCAGUGGCGAAGGCGGCCUUCUGGACCAGCACUGACACUGAGGCACGAAAGCGUGGGGAGCAAACAGG